rnacentral:lncRNA from 1 species
GUCUUAUUCUGUCACCCAGGUUGGAGUGCAGUGGUACGAUUUUGGGCUCAAGCAAUCCUUCCACCUCAGCCUCCCAAGUAGCUGGACCACAGAUGCACGUCACCACACCUGGCUAAGUUUUUGUAUUUUUGGUAGAGACAGGGUUUCACUAUGUUGCCCAGGCUGGUCUUGAAUUCCUGAGCGCUAGCGAUCCACCUGUUUCAGCCUCCCAAAGUGCUGGGAUUACAGGGGUGAGCCACCACGCCCAGCCAAUUUUUUUGUAUAAGUAUGUCUCAAUUAUUGCAUUGGACAUACUGAAAACAAGUAUUUAGGCCAGGCAUGGUGACUCGCACCUGUAAUCCGAGCACUUUGGGAGGCCAAUGUGGGAGGAUCUCUUGAACUCAGGAGUUCGAGACCAGCCUGGGUAACAUAGCAAGAGCCCAUCUCUACCAAAAAAAUAAAAAUUAAAAAAAUUUAAAAAUUAGCCAGUCGUGGUAGAAUGCACCUGUAGUCUUAGCUAGUUAGGAGGCUAAGGUGAGAGGAUCGCUUGAGCCCAGGAGGUGGAGGUUGCAGUGAACUGAGAUCACACCACUGCACUCCAGCCCGAGGGACACAGCAAGACCCUAUCUAAAAAAAAAAAAGGUGUAUUUAUUGUUUACCUUAAAUCCAUUUUUUUUUUUGAGACAGAGUCUCACUUUGUCGCCAGGCUAGAGUGCAGUGGCACAAUCUUGGCUCACUGCAACCUCUGCCUCCCGGGUUCAAGCGAUUCUCCUGCCUCAGCCUCCCAAGUAGCUGGGACUACAGGUGCGUGCCACCACGCCCAGCUAAUUUUUAUAUUUUUAGUAGAGACCGGGUUUUACCAUGUUGGCUAGGGUGGUCUCACUCUCUUGACCUCAUGAUCCGCCCACCUCAGCCUCCCAAAGUGCUGGGAUUACAGGCAUGAGUCACCACGCAGGGCCUGAAAUCCAAAUUUAACAGGAUGUCUUUUACUUUUAUUUGCUACCCUACCCCUACUUCCAUCUCCAAGUAUAGUUUCCUUGAUGGCAAAACAUGUUUCUCACUGGUCUCUGAAUCCCUGAAACUAGCCCAGUGCACGACAGUUCAUGCUCGGUUAAUAUGAAGAGAAGGCAACUUAUCUGGCUGCAGCGCUGAGAAUGGUUGGAGGGAGUUGUGACUGGAGACAGUGAGACCAGGUAGGAGGAUGAGGAAUAAACCAUCCAAAAAAUUAUGAAGGCUUCAGCAGAAUAGCACUGGGGAUAGGGAAAGGGGAUGGAUCUGCAGGAUCUAAGGAUUUGGUGACCAAUGCUUAAGGGACAUGACAGAGCUUAAGGAGCCUAGGAGAUUGCCCAAGUUUCUGGCUGUGUCACUGGAUGAGGUUGGUGCACUCACUGAGCAGGGAACACUGGGGAGGGUCUGGAAGCUGGACAGCAGGGAAGCUCAUUGAUGUGAGGAGCAGAGCAGGCUGGAGAAGGGUGGACAGCAGAUCUGAAGGAGGAAACGGAAGACAUCCAGUAUGGAUAUGUUAAGCUUGAUGUCUCCCAGGAUAUACAGAUAGAGGUAUUGGAAUUACAGACUUGGGGCUCAGGUGAAUGUUCUAGGCUGGAGAUAAAAUGUGAGCAUGGUUAGCAUGGAGGUGGUAACUGAAACCACGGGAGUAGACAGUGCUGCUCAGGGAGAGAGUAGAAUGGGAAGAGGAGAGAGAGUCGGUAUCAGAGCUCUGAGGAACAUGAGAGGCAGAGAGAGGAAGAGGAACUCAGAAGUCGUCUGAGAACAAGCCUCUGGAGGAGUGGAAGGAGAACCCGGAGAGUAUUGGACCAAGAGAGUCACGGGAAGACAGGUUUUCAAGGAGGACUGACACUAUCGAAUGCUUCUGAGACUUCAAAGGACUAAAUGGCCUUUGGCUUUAGUAUUGACCAGAGUCACCUGUGGCCCCAGGAGCUACAAUGUGCCACCUGGUGACAGGUUAUAGCUACUAUGUGGUAAACAGAGGUACAGCUCUGCAGCCUGUUUCCUUUGGGGAAAACAACCUUUUCUUUCUUGCUUGCUUCUUGCUUUCUCUCUCUCUUUCCCCUUCCUUCCUUCCCUCUCUCCCUCCCUCCCCCUCCCUCCCUCCCCUCCUUCCCUCCCUCCCCUCCCUCCCUCCCUCCCCUCCUUCCUUCCCUCCCCUCCUUCCCUCCUUCACUGUCUUCCUUUUGAUUUGGGUUGUCCUGAGUUGCAAACUGAGGCUAAUUCAUAUGGGAAUGUGUUCUUGGAGCUGUUGCUGUCUUGUUCCGGACUCUGAGAUGUUGAGCACAAGCUGUCUGGGGCCCAGAAUGCAGCCUCCAGCUGGGGUGAGCCCUGUUCCCUCAAAAGCUGGCAGCCUGGGGAAUGUUGACAGCCAGCACCUUUGGCUUGGGCUGUGGCCCUCUCACUGUGAGCAUUGUCAGAGAUGGCUUCAGUCAGUCUCCUUUACUGGCUCUGGAGCAGCCGUGUCUACUGAGUGGCAGGGUUUGGGGACUAGGCUAGGCUUUAAAGUCUCACUAGCAGGGGGCUGCCUGGCCCCAAUAACCCUGGAAUUGACAGAAUGUCCUUCUCUGCCUGCAGCCAGCCCUCUGUAAACUGUAUGGCCCUGGGGCCAUUUUCUUUGCAGGAGGGAAGGUGGAACUAAGGAUCCCGAAUCCGUUUGGAGGCAGAGAGGGGCCAACAGGGUGUUUGAAGGGAGCAAAGGCAUCGAAAUUUUUGGAGCAUCUAGAACUGGGGCAGUGAAUGCAGAAGAGUGGGAGCACACACACGUUUCUCCUCCUUGACCCAGAAUGGGCACAGCCUUCAGAGAGCUCUUGCCAGCUCCUCACUCUAGCCUGGGUGAAGGGGGCAUCUGUGCCAAAGCAGGAAGGCACACAGGCGGAUUGGAAGGAAUUUCUCUCAGCAGCGUCAAAUGCCUGAGGGAUCUCGCCCUCGACCCUCUCCAUCUCUCAUGGUACUCUCAUUCACCCCCGGCUGCAGCUCCUGCCUCUGUGCUGACAGCUGUCACAUCAAUCCAGCCCAGACCUCCCUCGGCAGCUCUAGACCAGCAGAUCCCACUGCCUCCUGACAACCCCUCUGGAUGUCCCACAGUUCCUCAGACUUAGCAUCCUUUCCAAAUCCAUGCCCCCAUCUCAUUUCCAAAAAAGAAAAAUCAUAGAGGCCUCCCCAAUACAAAUGCAUAGGACAUGGGAAACAAGGUUUGAAAGGAUAUCCAGAAAAGCUUAGGGAUAGCCCUGGCCUUUUGGAGGUGACUUGGGGGUGGUAUGAGAGGCCAGAGUCAGCAGUAACUUCUCCUUUCUUCCCCACGAAGGUGUGGACUUCUUAGCUUCCUGUCCUUUUCGUACCAUUUGCCAAAUUGAAUUUAAAUAAUUAUUACUGUAAUUGCUUACUUAUUGUCUGUCUCUCCUGGUUGAAGCUUCUCAAGGGCAGGGAUCAUGUCUGUUUCACUUCUGUAUCCUUGGCAUCUGUCAUAUAAUCAGUAUCUGACAUAUAAUAGGUGCUUAAUAAAUAUUUG